GUGGGCUCUUUAUAAGGUGACUGCCACCGUGGGCCAGGUAUGCAGCAGGGGUUGAGCUAGUCGUUUGGCUUUUCCGGUGGUGGUGACUCUUCCGGUCAUUAGGCUGUUCCGGUCGGUGGUUCUCUCCUGGGUGGCAGCCGGUUUUGAGAUUUCGCUCCGGUACAGAGGAUUAUCGAUCGCUCUGCGUUGUGUUGUGUUGUGCUGUGCUGUGCUGUGCUUUGCACUGGGUGCGUUCUAAGGGCUUUGCGCCCCUGAGUGUUUUUGAUCAUCGUGACCGCAGUCACAUAGGUCUCGUGGGCAGACUCGUUCCCCCCCCCUCCCCACGCAUUGUUUGGUCGUCGUCCAGUGUGUGUGCUAACCCUUUCCGCUGUGGUUGUAGGGUGCUGAUCGCCAGGGUCAUCCUUUGCUUGCUGCUGUUUUGCCUCUGUUUGUUCUUCCUUAUUGAUUGCCGUGUCUUGUCAUUGUGUCUUGGUG